rnacentral:rRNA from 1 species
UACGGAGGGUGCAAGCGUUAUCCGGAUUCACUGGGUUUAAAGGGUGCGUAGGAGGGCAGGUAAGUCCGUGGUGAAAUCUCUGAGCUUAACUCAGAAACUGCCGUGGAUACUACCGGUCUUGAAUAUCGUGGAGGUGAGCGGAAUAUGUCAUGUAGCGGUGAAAUGCUUAGAUAUGACAUAGAACACCAAUUGCGAAGGCAGCUCACUACACAAUCAUUGACGCUGAGGCACGAAAGCGUGGGGAUCAAACAGG